UACGUAGGGGGCAAGCGUUGUCCGGAAUCAUUGGGCGUAAAGCGCGCGUAGGCGGCCCGGUAAGUCCGCUGUAAAAGUCCAGGGCUCAACCCUCGGAUGCCGGUGGAUACUGUCGGGCUUGAGUACGGAAGAGGCGAGUGGAAUUCCUGGUGUAGCGGUGAAAUGCGCAGAUAUCAGGAGGAACACCAAUUGCGAAGGCAGCUCGCUGGGACGUUACUGACGCUGAGACGCGAAAGCGUGGGGAGCAAACAGG
rnacentral:rRNA from 1 species